rnacentral:lncRNA from 1 species
GGCGCUGGAUGUGACGGAGGCACAGAAGACCGAGGGUCAGAAGACCCUAGGUGCGGCGCCUAGGGUUCUUUUGUUUUCUGCUAGGGCUUUUCAUUGUAAUGGGUUUUGGGCUUAUUUGUUUUCUCUGGUGGACCGGGCAAAUUUGGGCUUCUACAUAUAUAUUUUAAAAACGUAAUGUAUAAUACGAUAAUAACGAAAUAAUGGAAGAUAACUAUAUGAGUAAAAUAUUUAAAAGGUAAAUAACAAGUAAUGGAAUACAAUAAUAAUGAUGAUGUGAUUAUAAUAACACCAAAUAAUAACAAUAAUCAUAUUAACUAUUAUUCUAAUGCUAAAACAAUAGAAAUGAAUUAAACAUUAAUAAUGAUGAUAAUGAAAUAAUAAUGAAAUGUGUAAGUAAAGAAGUAAACAACACUAUAAAUUCUAAUUACAAGAAAAAUAAAAAUAAAAUAAAAAAUAUACGAAUGAAUAUGCGAAUAAAUAAAUAAAACAAAAAAGAGUAAAUAAAUAAUAAAAGCUUGAAAUUAAACAACGAAGGAUUAAAUUGGGAUUAAAAUAAAAUUUAGAGUCAAAAUUAUGAUGAAAUAGGUGAAUAAACAUAAAAGGGACUAAAUCGGAGCUUGAAUGGGAUUUAAAGGCAUAAAUUACAAAUAAAAAAGGGAGAAGGGGCAAACUAAAACGAGCUGAAAAAGGGUGAGGACUAGAUGGGAAAUUAUUCCUAGUCCUUUGGAGCGCACCGUUUCAAUUUGGACCGAAAUGAAUAAAAAUGAAAUUAUGCCGCAAAAUGUAAGAAAGAAAAAAAGUUUAGGACUAAAUUGCAAAGUCGCGAAAAAGAGGAAGGGCCAUAUGCGAAAUUACCCCUUCAACGCAGAAACACGCGGAUCUUGAGGGCCAACAGGUUGGUUUUCGGGUCUGCGGCCAAAACGAUGUCAUUUUGGCCUCUAGGCUCACUCCUCAAAACGGCGUCGUUUCAUGUCUUUACUUAAACUAAUUUUUUUUCUCAAAAUUUCAUUUUUUUUCAAUGUUUAAAAAAAACUUCAAAAACCUCCCAUCUCUCUCAAAAAACUCUCCCCCCAUUCGGCCGAUGGUCUCCCUCGACCUCCGUCGCGCCACCGCUGUGGCCAGCAACCGGCACUGGAAAAAUGGGCCCCUUAGCCCUUGUUGUACGGCGUCCUUGAGAGCUAAGCUCUCUCAACCCGCGAGGAUAAAAAAAAAACAGGGGAGACUCUCGACGCCUUCGGACCCGAAUUGGGUGAUGAAGGAGAAGCCCUCUGACAGCGCGGCCACGGUCGUCUCCGGUGAGUCUCCUUUUCCCCCUUUUUUAUUUUUAUUACUUAGUAUGUAAAAAAUAACAAUAAAGUAAAAAGGAUAAAUAAUGAGAAUUGAACUUGAAAGUAAAAAGAAAAUCACCUCUCAAAUAUGUUCUGUUUUCGUUUUUUUUAAUGUUCGUAAAAAAGAAAAAAAUUACAGAGAUAAAAUUCGGCUUUUAUAGCCGAUUUGAAAAACCCCUAGUUUUCUAUUUUUUUGUCGUUUUGCAAUUUGGCUUUUUCUUUCUGUUGCGUGUUCAUUUGUUUUGCAGGUGUCAGACGCGUGAGGAGGCGUGCGGCGGCCAGGGGCAAAAGACCUAAGUGCGGUGCACCUAGGGUUGGCAAUCUUUUGUUUUCUUUCUGUUAAGGGUAUUGGGUUAGGGUUAGGCAUUUUUGUAUUGGGCUUAAGUCUAAUGAAUUGGGUUUAAUGUUUUCAUUUUGGUGUUUGGUUUUGUUUGGGCCAUAUUGGGCCCCAAGCAAAAAUGGGCUUGUACACGUAUUUAUAUUUUUAUUCUUUAAUAAAUUGUUUUAUUUCAUAUACUUGCUACAAGUAAUUAUUACUGAAAAUUAUUAAAAUAUAUAAUUUUAAAAAAUAAAUUAAUUUUAAAUUAUACUAUAAGUAAUUGAUAUUAGAAUUUGAUUUUAUUUGUAUGUGUGCAGUGUGCACUAAUAAUAGAUAAAUUAAUUGUGAUUUAAAUUUAUUGAAAUUAUUGAAAUAACUACUAAUUUUUAAAAUUAACGUUAAAACAUUAAUUUCAAAUUUUAGUUUUAAUAUUAAGUGGGUAUUUUUUAACAUUUCAUAUUUCAAUUUUUUUUCUAAUUUAAAAUCAAAUAACAAUAUUAUUAAUUAAAAAAUGAAUUCAAAUUGUAUCAAAUAUAAUUAAAUUAAACUUUAUGAAUCUUGUUCAAAAUCAAUUUAUCUAAGUGGGAAGAGAUUAUCAUAACAUAUUUUUCAAUAAAACAACAAUUGAGAUUGAAUCAUAUAAUUGUAUUAUAAAAAUAUUAUGGAAUAAAUUAAACACUAAUUAGAAAACUUAAACUUUCUAAAAAUAAUUAAAAUAAAAUUAUAUUUAGAAAAAAAAUUAAAAAAUCUAAAUUCCUUAAAAAUUAAAAUAAAAUCUAAUUUAAAAAUAAAUACUUAAAUAUUAGUAAUAUAUUUAAAUUUUCUAUAUUAAUCUUUUUCUUCAAUUGAUUUCUUUUAGACAAAUCUAAUUUAUCAAUGCCAAUAACCUUUUUAUUUUUUUAUGUGAUUAUGGAAAUCACUAUGAUAAUUGAAUUCAACCAAAUCACAAGACAUGUUAGGUUUAUAGAAUCAAAAGUGUAAAUAAAUAUUAUAUAUGGAUAUAAAAAACAAAAUUGAGAAAAUAAAACCUAUCAUCCAUUCUAAAAAUAGUUUUGAUCCCGUCACCUUUAAGCCUCGUUUAAUGCCCAUGGAGUUGCAUGAAUAAUGUUGGUGUAAUUUAAAUGUUAUUGUUUGAAAAUACUUAAUAUUGAAUGCUAUUUAUAAUUGUAACUUUUAAUUUUAAUUAGGAUAUGGAGAUGUCAUUAAUUUAACAAUAAGUAAUUAAAAAUGAUAUCAUUUACGGAUCAAGAAAUCAUAGGAGGGAUGGCUAGAAAAUAAUUAAACUAAAAAAAAAAAAAGGAAAAAGAAAAAAGCUUAUCAGCCUUUGUUGAUAAGGAAAAUUUGCCACAAACUUGAACAAGUAGAUUAAUUUGUCUCAUUCUAAGAACACACCUGGUUCGUUUGUGAAGUAAAAACACUUCCAAGAUCCCCAGCACCUAUGGUCAACAACCAAACCCCACAAUCAGUCCUAAUUCCUAGUUAACUUGAAAUCAAAAUAUUGACAAUGAUUCGUUCAAUCCAUUCGUCACCUACCUUCAAAACCGAGCAACCCCCAACUAUGGAUCCGAACGAGAUAGGUCACCACUCUCACAAUUCGUUACUGACAAAUCUGAAAGACCCAAUAAGACAACAAUUCACAUCUUCAUAGCUUAAAAGAAUAGAAAAGCUUCCCUUAAUUCACCAAACACAAUCACCUUACCUACUAAACGAGUGACGACAUAACCAGACCGCUCCUAUGCUAACCGAAUCGUUCUGGCCCUUAACCUUCAACAAUGAAACAGUCGACCUAUCACCAAAAAUCCAUAAACUAAAUAACACCACAGUUACAAAACUUACAACCAACGCGCAAAGACAAAACGGAGAUGACAAAUUGCGGCAACAAGAAUUUUAGAAGGAAAUGGACUACUAGAAAAAUCAAAGUAGGGAGAGAAUGAAAUUUUAGCAGUAGUCAACAACAAAUAAAAAGAUGAGAAAAGAAAGGCCAAGGGCACAAUUCGUAGAGAGAAUAAUAGCUAGGUAAAAAAAUAAAGGAGGAAAAACAGUUGGCUGCAAAGGAGAGAUAAGAAUCGGCAAAGAAAAUGAAGGGGAAGGAUAAAAAGAGAAGAUUCGACUAAGGGAGGAGGAGGAGGUUUGUUCACCUUUUUCUCUGAAAAGUAAAAAUUUGGGAAGCACAGAAUUCCACUCAAUCACCACUACCCCCUAAAUCCCUUGAUUAACUCCCCCUAUCCCUAAUUUCACUCCCCAACCGUCCACUACAAUCCCCUCAACCACCAAAUUCAAAUCCCACUCAAACUCUUCGGUCAAACUACAACACCCUCACGGCACAAGCAGUAAAAAUAAAUCCCAUGUUUGCACAAAGACUUGAACUCCAAACCUUCUACUUAAUUACACUCCACUUAACCACCAGACCAGUAAACCCAUUUUUACAUAUUUUACCAAUAUUUAUUUAUAAGCCUACUGACUAGAGAUAGAUGUUUAAUCAUUUAAAAACAAAAAAUUU